rnacentral:rRNA from 1 species
GACGAACGCUGGCGGCGUGCUUAACACAUGCAAGUCGAACGGAAAGGCCCUGCUUUUGUGGGGUGCUCGAGUGGCGAACGGGUGAGUAACACGGGAGUAACCUGCCCUUGACGUUGGGAUAACUUCAGGAAACUGGGGCUAAUACCGGAUAGGAGCUCCUGCGGCAUGGUGGGGGUUGGAAAGUUUCGGCGGUUGGGGGUGGACUCCCGGCUUAUCAGCGUGUGGGUGGGGUAGUGGCGUGCCAAGGCUUUGACGGGUAGCCGGCCGGAGAGGGUGCCCGGCCACACUGGGCCUUAGCUACGGCCCCGACCCCUACGCGAGGCAGCAGUGCGGACUCUUGCACAAUGCGCGGAAGCCCGAUGCAGCCACGCCGCGUGCGGGAUGACGGCCUUCGGGUUGUCAACCGCUUUCGCCUGUGCCGAAGCGUGAGUGACGGUAAUGGGUAAAGAAGCACCGGCUAACUACGUG